UACGGGGGGAGCAAGCGUUGUUCGGAUUUACUGGGCGUAAAGGGCGCGUAGGCGGCCAGCACAAGUCAGUUGUGAAAUCUCCGAGCUUAACUCGGAAAGGUCAACUGAUACUGUGCGGCUAGAGUGCGGAAGGGGCAACUGGAAUUCUUGGUGUAGCGGUGAAAUGCGUAGAUAUCAAGAGGAACACCUGCGGCGAAGGCGGAUUGCUGGGCCGACACUGACGCUGAGGCGCGAAAGCCAGGGGAGCGAACGGG
rnacentral:rRNA from 1 species